GCGGGGAAUGAGAGCCUGGCUGUAAGCAGGGCUGAGCCUCAGCUCUGCCACAUGUAGUUACAAGACCCCAGGCUUCUCACCUGAAAAGCGGGGCAAGCAGCUGCCCCGAGGGACCUAAGCAUGAGAACAGCAUCCACUGCACUGAGCAUAAUGCAAGUUCCCAUCUAUCAGUUCUCAUGGCGGGAGUCCUGACAAAACAACUGUGCAUGAAAAAGUAACGGGGAGAAACACCAGCCCAGCAGGCAGGGCGAGCAAGAGCGGAAAAGCCACAGAACACCUGUUCAGGGUAGGACAAGGAAUUGCUAGAGGACUGAGGUGUCUAUUGCAGCACAAGGCCCAGCUUGUCACAGACCAUGCAUCUCAAAACAAGGUAAGCCAACUGCUACCCAAGAGAAUACACUGUAAAAUUCUCAUUCUGCCAUGCCCACUAAGCCACAGCCCUCCCUUUUGAGUUUGAGUUAUUGCCAUAUUUCCCAAACUAACUUAUAAUUGCGUGUUUCUCCUGUUUAUGAGAAAAUAAUCUUGGCUCAGAGGUAUGUGGGUAUUGAAGGGGACCUCCUGAGCACAGACUGGUCUCUUACACACCUUCCAUUAUCCAAAGCUUUGUGUAUCAACAAGGGCUGAGCUGAAUGUCAAGUUGUGGCCCUGAAAGAUGGACCCUGAACCAAUAAGCAGAAGUCACAGGGAGCUGGGCUGGACUAGCUUUGAGGUGGGGAGCUUUCUCUCUCUAGCAGAGGCCUAAGAAGGCAGCAAGAUGAACUGCAGACUGCAGAAGAAAUCCUGCAGUUGGGUCACAGAGACAUCUCCCAUAGUUGCUGACGCUCCUUUCUACUCUGGAACAUCCUCUACCUGAUGCACAGGUUCCUCUGAGAUGGAAAGGACAUCACAUGUGUGAAGGACCAGCUUCUCAGACACUGCCACUCCUUAAUGGCAACCCCUAUUCAAACCCAUAGGUAUCCUCAACUUCAUCUGCUAUUCAGUUAGACACUUUAAGAUAGCAGGCACACCAAGCAAGACCAAAUCAUCUCUUGGCAAAUGAUACAUCAGCUUAGGACUAAGGCAAGGUUCAGGGGAGAAUUCACUAAUAGGUGUAGACCAGUCAACUAUGCAUAUUAAGUUUAAGUCAUUUCUCUAAUUUCUCCAUCUGAAAUAGGCAGAAUGGUGUGACCAUCUCCUUUUAAAGGCCAGGUUUGGGGCACAACCAGCCUAAUACUGAAACUUCAUCUUAUCUGCUCUGUCACCUUCAGAUGUCAGGGAGCCCUCUGCAACAUUAGCCUUGUUGUGCAUAUUGUCACAGAUCAUGAUGAGGCAUUCUGUCCUCUCACUGACCCCUGACAACAUCCUCAGGCCUCCAGCUCUCCAUGGUCAUUAGGCCCUCAUCCCAGAGAAAAGAAGCCAAUACUGAGGUUCUAGAGUUGACCUGGGCCCAGAACACACAUAGGUAAUGUGUCAGUGUCCAACCUGAGCAGUCUGGUUCCCCAUAAGCUUGUUACAUUCUCACCCAACAACUAUUCAUGUUUAACAUCCUUUAUACGUCACUUCCCACAGAUGGAAACAAGGUCCUCCAGAGGCAUGGCACAUCACCCUGUGGCUCUGUCUCACCUGUGGCUGAUGCAUUAUGUUGUACCCCAAACGGGAAAAUGUCAUUUGACCAGAACUUGCCAGCCUGUCCUUGCACCAAGAUUUGGGCACACUCCCCUCUCCUUCCUAGACAUGACUACAGCCCUUGUGUUCUUACAGGCACAGACUUCAUGAGCAAGCUAAAUACCACAAGCACCAGCAUCUGUAGAACCUCUAAAAUGAAAAGCCACCUCUAAGCUAAAGUAUAGUAAGUAAUUAUAGAGCCAGACGAUGCAGAUACAUAAAAAAAGGAAGGGGGAACGAGGGACUGCCUGUAGUUUUCUUUAAAAAGAAUAGCAACUGCCUAUCCCCAAAACUCUACAUGGGCCCUUCUUGAUGAAGAAACUGGGGCUCAGUCCACCUUCAGGGCUGGACCUGGAGAUGAAGACAGAGAAGAAUUCACUUCAUGUAUUCAUUCAACAGACAUUUGUCAUGAGCCAUCAUGCUGAGACCUGACUGUGCAGGAUCACCCACACUUCUCCCCAGUCCAGUGCUGAUCCACUGUGGUCACUGACAGACAGACAGACAGACAGACAGACAGACAGACAGGUUUAGGAAACAGUUGCUAUUCACCGAAUACAAGGCAGCUUUGGUGUGUGAGAUGCCUGAUCCUGGUGGUGGAACCUGGCCUCUUGGAACUUGAGCUCUCACUGAGGAAGACAGCAAUAAAUAACUGCUGUAUGAAAGGUAUCGUGCGGUGAGGAAGGAACAAGCGGUGAGCAGAGAAGGAGCAGAAGGGGGCUGGGGCAGGCAGUGAUGCAGGACCUCUCUCUGAUUACAAAGGAGGAUAAGGGGAGGGCAUCAGGUAGAAACAAGGAGGAGGAGGUCCUGAAAUGUGUCACAUUCAGGAAGAUGCAGUCAGAGCAGAGGGGCUGAUGUGGUUUGCAGCCCAGAAAAAGGCAGCACUGGAGAGAUCGAAUCAAAACACUACCAAAGCUAACUGGUGAUAUCUUGAGGCCUAUUAUCUGGCUUCACUGCAGCCCCAGGCUCCUGAAACAAAAAAGAUCGAAUAUUCUGCAAAAGACAGGCAGUGAACUGGGUGCAAUAAACAUUUAUCAAGUUCAUGGGGAUUUCCUAAGUGUGGGUCUUGGGGUGGGAGAAGGAAAAUGGCCCCAUCAGAAAAUGACCUUGAACUACUAAAGUUCACUUGUCAUUAACAAAUUGAUACAUAUUUGGCCUUCUUUUGGUUUAAACUUUAAGCUGACUUGCUAAAGUGAGCAUGGAAGUUGGCUAGCUUGAGUAAACUGUACAGAACAAAGGGGCUUUAGAGCACAGAAGGUGGGCUUCCCACCAUCUCAGACUUCCCUACAUUCCAGUUUAGCCAUGGCCUCUAACCACUCAGACCUCUGUGCAGUAAGUCAGGGAGAGCUUGUAUGGUCCCUGGCCGUGCCCACCACCCACUAUGGCUGACUGACUCAUCAGGGGGCUGAUCAGGCUCCUACAAUACUAAACCUAGCACCUGAACUCACUGCACCCCACAUAAGGGAAAGCUGUAGUCCCUGAAAGGGAAAGUCCACUCUGAUCUGCCUCCCUCUCCCUCAAAUUCCCACCCAGGACUCCUACUGCCAGUGCUACACAGUGCCGAUGCACCUUCAAGGUCCUACGUGUGCUGAGUGUGGACCUGGCCCCGGAGCAGCUCAUCCACAGUCUCAUGUCUGUCUGCAAUAGUGGGAGAGAACACUUGCUACGUCACGUCUUCCCAUCUGACCUGUGUCAGCCUGUUCCUCUCGUUAAUACUGCUGGAGCAGAAAGCAUGGACACGCCCUGACCUCCCCUCUGUGCCACCCCAGAUACAGAAGCUCUAUCCUUGCCACUCCUCACCCCCUCCUCCUGAUACAGCUUCUCACAUGCCCUCUCUUCUCUAUCCCCACAGCCUUGAAUUCUGGUCUGAUCUUUGAUCGUUAAGGUUGCCAAAACAGGAGCCUAACCUGUGCAUUCUCCUAAACCCACUACUCUCUCAAGCCUGAGGUUUAAAGAUGCAAUCCAAGUGCAAGAGGAGGCCGCUGACAGGCGAAGGAGAGGGGGACAAAGACAAUGGAUGUAUUGUUACUUAAUUCUCAGCCCAAAGGGAGGGGCAGAAUAGAGACAGGGGUGCCGGGCUGCCAGCUGACAGGUCUUGGCGUCAGCUAGGCAAACAGGAACCUGUUUGGCUAUGGGAAGGUGAUAGGUGAGUGUGAGCCAACUUUGAGAGGCAUCCAGAAUUCGAAGGAAGAAAGGGAGAGAUGGUGACCUGACUAAGACCUUCUAAGUCUUGGUUUGAAAAGAAAAGCAAGUUAACUACUAUGUGCCUGGCUGAGAUGGAGGGGAGAGAAGAGAUUUGUCAUACCCAUACUUCCAACUGCUGAAGAGGAAACAGAAAAGCCUACAGAGCCCAAAGGAGUCCCGGGAAAUGAUGGGCACCCCAAGGUGUUCUCAUUACUGCCCCCUUUCUCUGGUCCUUUCCUCUGACAGUGACUGCUGCUGUGCCAGCUCAAGGUGGGGUGCAACCAAUGAGACCAAGUCAACUAGGAGCACAGGCUGGGGCAGCCUCAGCAUCACAGGUACUAGACCUUUAAGGUUUAGAAAACAAAAACCUAUAGGUAUCUAACAACAAGAGAAAUGAAUAGAAAAAAACUGAUUGAUAUGGAAUUUUUUCAGCCAUAAAAGACAAAAUUAUGUCAAUUGCAAGGGGAUAGAUGCCACCAGAGAUAAUCAUAUUAAGCAAAUUUAUGCUUAAAAAAGUCUGAGAAAGACAAAUUUCAGUUUGCUCUCAUUUGUCCUUCCUAGAUUUCAUGGAGAUACAUAAAGUGACGUGUGUGUGUGUGUGUGUGUGUGUGUGUGUGUAUAUUGAAUGACAUGAAAGUGAGGUAAAACUGCCUAGGGGAAGAAGGAAUGAUGGGCAGGAGGGGUCAAAGGGGACAGUGGAGAGAAGUGGGGAGGGUCAUAUACUCACUUAUAUGAAA